rnacentral:rRNA from 1 species
UACGGAGGGGGCUAGCGUUGUUCGGAAUUACUGGGCGUAAAGCGUGCGUAGGCGGUUUAGUGUGUUGGAUUUGAAAGCCCGGGGCUCAACUCCGGAUCCGGAUCCCAAACUGCUAGACUCGAGAGUAUCAGAGGAGAGCGGAAUUCCCGGUGUAGCGGUAAUAUGCGUAGAUAUCGGGAGGAACACCAGUGGCGAAGGCGGCUCUCUGGGGUAUUUCUGACGCUGAGGCACGAAAGCCAGGGGAGCGAACGGG